GGCCAGACAGUGCAGCCCAGUUUGAGG
rnacentral:piRNA from 1 species